UGAGGAAUAUUGGUCAAUGGGCGCAAGCCUGAACCGGGCAUCCCGCGUGCAGGAAGACGGCGCUAUGCGUUGUAAACUGCUUUUCCAGGGAGAGAAACUUGCGCACGUGUUGCGCAAUUGACGGUACCCUGGGAAUAAGCAUCGGCUAACUCCGUGCCAGCGGCCGCGGUAAUACGGAGGAUGCGAGCGUUAUCCGGAUUCAUUGGGUUUAAAGGGUGCGUAGGCGGACUAUUAAGUCAGUGGUGAAAUCCUGCAGCUUAACUGCAGAACUGCCAUUGAUACUGAUAGCCUUGAGUUUGGUUAAGGUAGGCGGAAUGUGUAAUGUAGCGGUGAAAUGCUUAGAUAUUACACAGAACACCAAUUGCGUAGGCAGCUUACUGAGCCGACACUGACGCUGAGGCACGAAAGCGUGGGGAUCGAACAG
rnacentral:rRNA from 1 species